AAACGACGAAGUAACUUUGGUAUGUAAAGUUCUUUUAUCAAGGAAGAAAAGCAAGUGGUGAACCAUUUGUUUGCCGGUACUUGAUGAAUAAGCCCCGGGCUAAUUAUGUGCCAGCAGCCGCGGUAAGACAUAAGGGGGCAAGUGUUAUCCGGAAUUAUUGGGCGUAAAGGGUGCGUAGGCGGUCUAGUAAGUCAGUGGUGUAAUGGCAACGCUCAACGUUGUCCGGCUAUUGAAACUGCUAAACUUGAGUUAGAUAGAGGCGAGUGGAAUUCCAUGUGUAGCGGUAAAAUGCGUAAAUAUAUGGAGGAACACCAGAGGCGUAGGCGGCUCGCUGGGUCUUAACUGACGCUGAGGCACGAAAGCGUGGGGAGCAAACAGGAUUAGAUACCCUGGUAGUCCACGCCGUAAACGAUGAGUACUAAGUGUCGGGUUAAACCGGUACUGAAGUUAACACAUUAAGUACUCCGCCUGAGUAGUACGUACGCAAGUAUGAAACUUAAAGGAAUUGACGGGACUCCGCACAAGCGGUGGAUCAUGUUGUUUAAUUCGAAGAUACCCGAAAAACCUUACCAGGUCUUGACAUGUUUUUGCGAAACGGUAGUAAUAUCGUGGAGGUUAUCAGAAACACAGGUGGUGCAUGGUUGUCGUCAGCUCGUGUCGUGAGAUGUUAGGUUAAGUCCUAAAACGAGCGAAACCCUUAUCGUUAGUUGCCAGCACGUUAUGGUGGGGACUUUAACGAGACUGCCAGUGAUAAAUUGGAGGAAGGUGAGGAUCACGUCAAAUCAGCAUGCCCCUUAUGACCUGGGCUACAAACGUGAUACAAUGGCUGUUACAAAGGGUAGCUGAAACGCAAGUUCUUGGCCAAUCCCCAAAAACAGUCUCAGUCCGGAUUGAAGUCUGCAACUCGACUUCAUGAAGUUGGAAUCGCUAGUAAUCGCGAAUCAGCAUGUCGCGGUGAAUACGUUCUCGGGGUUUGUACACACCGCCCGUCAAACCACGAAAGUUGGCAAUACCCCAAAACGGUAGCCUAACUCGUUUAUCGAGAGGGCGCUGUCUAAGGUAGGGUCGAUGAUUGGGGUUAAGUCGUAACAAGGUAUCCCUACCGGAAGGUGGGGAUGGAUCACCUCCUUUCUAAGGAAACCAAUAAAAUCAAUCAUCUUCAGUUUUGAAAGACUUAGGAUAACUAAGUUUUUCUUCGUGACUUCACGAAGGGCCUAUAGCUCAGUUGGUUAGAGCACACGCCUGAUAAGCGUGAGGUCGGUGGUUCAAGUCCAUUUAGGCCCACCAGAGUUAUAGGUGUCGUAAGAACACAAAUUCUUUGAAAAUUAGGUAAAUAAUAGUUAUUUUUCCGGAACAUUAAAGGAAAUAAGAGCGCACAGUGGAUGCCUAGGCACCAAGAGCC
rnacentral:rRNA from 1 species